rnacentral:lncRNA from 8 species
AACUAAUCUGGAACACUGCAUUGCUGGCACAAAUUUGACCCAUAUGCUCUGCAACUUUACCAUCCAACAUUAUGCUUGCCUACCUCAGUCUUACCAGCCCAGCGGCCCAUCCAUCUCUCUGGUGCUAGAUGUAUUUGGGCAGGUAGUAGUUGACCAGUUUAGUCAGCAUGACCCGAGAAGCCCAAACCACACCCGCAAGUGGUUCCUGAGGAAUCUCCAACCCUUCCUCCUGCAAGCUUCCAGAGAGUUCCUGUCCUGUCUUAGCACCAAGAACUUCACUUGUGGGACCUACCAGAUUUUGUAUGUGAAAACAUACAUUUUAUUUCAGUGUGGUUGACUAUUUGCCCUCACUUGAUCUAGUACUUCAAUGCGAUGUCUUUGCCUUCGCAGAGUGGAAGCUCUAGGUCAUCAACCAGCUAAUCCUAACCCAGCUAACUUAGCUAUGGACAGACAAAGACAGCUUUUGAUCUACACUGAUUUCAUUGAUCCCUUCUUGAAGCGCAAUGACACUGAAGGUAUAUUUAAAUAAUUCUGUAAAAUCAAUGAUACCUGAAAAUGUAAUUUUACUAAGCAUGGCGAAGACAAAGGAAUUGUAAUCAGUUAGGAUAGAAAGACUGCUAUUUUACUCCAACCUUUGAAAAUAUUUUUUAUUAUUUCAGACCCCAACUGUGUCAACCACUCAAACAACAGAGCUGACUGGCUUAAAAGUACUUUGGGCUGUUUGUUGGUUUUGCGCCCCUAGAAGAACUCAAACGACUGCAUGGAAACUUCUCAGUGGUUGGUACUAGUUCAUGAUUUUGACCUUUUGAACUUACUCAUUCAUCCAAUAGUCAUUUGUAACCAGUUUGAAUCCAUGUUCUUAUUCCACGGUGUAGGUGGAUGUCCUGCCUAUGCUGAGCCCCAGGCAGCUGGGGGAGGUGGCCUCCACCCCUGGUCAGCUCAGAAACCCUGGAGAUGUCCAUGAUACUGAUUCAUGUGCUUCCCAGAGAUCUGGGCGAGUUCUUUGACAUCGUUUCUCCAGCUGUUGAGGUAUGGAUGAGUGAUAUCCAUGGUCAAUUCUUAUACCACUGCCUUAUUUCCUAUAUACCUUUGCUUAGUACAAUCACCUCAUGUGUUUCUGUCCUUCAGGGUCUUCACCUUCCGGUGGAUGUGCGUCAGGUGCUGCUCCAGCAGGUGUUUGACAAUGCCAACCUCAAAGACCCUGAGGUGCUGGUGUGGUUGGGCCAGAGACUCCACCCACUUUUACCCAACCUAACAGAUGAGCAUGUGGCCCCCCUCUUCAACAUCGUCAGACACAGAGACUGCAACACCAGCCAAGAAACAGUGGCGUUGUUGAACUCUAUCCUACCAUCACUGUCCAACGGCACACAGGCUGCUGUCCAGUAUCAAAUAAUCAUGUCUCUCAGAGGUAUUCACCUGGUCAUCAUCUCCAGUGGUGUGAAGUACUUAAGUAAAAAUCCUUGAAAGUACUACUUAAGUUGUUUUUUGGGGUAACUGUACU